CCACAGUGGGACUGAGACACGGCCCACACUCCUACGGGAGGCAGCAGCGGGGAAUCUUGCGCAAUGGACGAAAGCCUGACGCAGCGACGCCGCGUGAGGGAAGGAGCCCUUCGGGGUGUAAACCUCUUUGGACGGGGAGAAGUAGGAGAUAGUACCCGUUUAAAAAGCCACGGCUAACUACGUGCCAGCACCCGCGGUAAUACGUAGGUGGCGAGCGUUGUCCGGAAUUACUGGGGGUAAAGGGUGCGUAGGCGGCCUGGUAAGUUGAGCGUGAAAUUUUUGGGCUCAACCCAAAAGGAGCGUUCAAGACUGCCAGGAUUGAGUGCGGGAGAGGACGGCGGAAUUCCCGGUGUAGCGGUGAAAUGCGUAGGUAUCGGGAGGAACACCAGUGGCGAAGGCGGCCGUUUGGACCGUAACUGACGCUGAGGCACGAAAGCGUGGGGAGCAAACAGGAUUAGAUACCCUGGUAGUCCACGCUGAUAAUACGACGAGUACUAGGUGUGGGAGGGAGUAGCGUUCUCUUUCCGCAGCUUAACACAUUAAGUACUCCCGCCUGGGAAGUACGAUCGCAAGACUAAAACUCAAAAGGAAUAGACGGGGGGCCGCACAAGCAGCGGAGCAUGUGGUUUAAUUCGAAGCAACGCGAAGAACCUUACCAGGGCUUGACAUGUACCGAAUCCUGUAGAGAUACGGGAGUGCCCCUUUGGGGAACGGUAAGACAGGUGGUGCAUGGUUGUCGUCAGCUGGUGUCGUGAGAUGUUGGGUUAAGUCCCGCAACGAGCGCAAUCCUUGCCUUUAGUUGCCUGCACUUCGGGUCGGCACUCUAAAGGGAGUGCUAGGGUUAACUUAGAGGAAGGCGGGGAUGACGUCAAAUCAUCAUGCCCUUUAUGCCCUGGGCUACACACUUGCUCCAAUAGCCGGUACAAAGAGCAGAGACCCUCUGAGGCGGAGCAAAUCUUUAAAACCGGUCCCAGUUCAGAUUGUAGGCUGCAACUGUGGUACAUGAAGCUGGAGUCAGUCGUAACGGGGGAUCAUCACGCCGCGGAGAAUAGGUUGCUGGCCCUUGUACACACCGCCCGUCACUCCAUGAGAGUUUCAACACCCGAAGUCAGUGGGCCACCCGAAAGGGAGGCAGCUGCCGAAGGUGGGGUUGAUGAUGGGUCGAGGUCGUGACAAGGUAACCA
rnacentral:rRNA from 1 species